UACGGGGGGUGCGAGCGUUGUCCGGAAUCACUGGGCGUAAAGGGCGCGUAGGUGGUUUGAUAAGGGUGUGGUGAAAGUCCGGGGCUCAACCCCGGAUCUGCCGUGCCGACUGUCAAACUCGAGGACUGUAGAGGCAGACGGAAUUCCGGGUGUAGCGGUGGAAUGCGUAGAGAUCGGGAAGAAUACCCGUGGCGAAGGCGGCCAGCUGGGCCAGGUCCGACACUGAGGCGCGAAAGCGUGGGGGGCAAACAGG
rnacentral:rRNA from 1 species